CUUUCUGAUCCGAGCCCGAGCUCCUUUCAGCGCCACAGACGGGUGGCCAGCCCCCUUCCAGUCUCUAGCACGCUGCCACUAGGUUACCUUUGACUCUUGUCCAGCUGGAGGGUCCCGCCAGGGAGAGGACCGGCUCCACUGUACCCAUGGCCUCCUGCAUGCUUUUCAGUUAUAGCUGCCAACACAACGCACCUCGAAUGCUACGGAGAGGCUGGGGAUAACGGCAGAGCACGAAAGCAGGGCUGCACACUGACCUGCACUUUCUCCAAGUCUCCAUCCCCGGGCUAAAUGGCACGGACUUCCCUAGACCACCCCCACAACCCACGUACUUCUCUUACCCUAUCCCCCUGUGUGCACUCUUGAUUAAAAAAAAAAAAAAUCCUGGACAGGUGACCACCCCUCAGCUGUCAAAGUGAGCCUUCUACAGCGUAGGUCCGAUCAAGUUACAUUCUCUCCCAUCUCCAUAAACGCCAUUGGCUCCCUUUCACUUCCAGCAUCAGUGACAGAAUCCAAUGGCGUCCAAAUCUCAUAACUUGUUCCCCUCACCUUUUUCGUCUCCUCCCCCUCCAUGUAAGGCUAUCUAGGGGCACUGACUUCUUGCUCUUGGAACAAGACACUGCAGCUAUCUCUGGGAAUUUUCACUGGCUGCCCCUGGUGUUUGGAGAGCUCUCCACAUCUCCGUGUCUUCGUUUUUCUGGCUUCCUUCAAGUCCCAGCCAAAAAGCUCACGUUCUCCAACAAUUCUUACCGAUGCUGCUUUCCGUUGAUUAUUUCCAAUUUAUCCUGCAUGUAACUUCUUUGUAUAUAGUUUGCAUGAGUCGUCUCCAUUAAUUAGACUGGGAGCUCCCUGAAAGUUUCGGCAGGACUUUUACUCUUCUUUUGUCUAUUCCGCUAUGCUUAGCACAACCCUGCUACAUUAGGUGCUUUAUAAAUGUUUGACCACCUGAUUCUGACACAUAGAUGUCCUGACUUGGGAUUCCAGAAACCCCCUUUGGCCCAUUUCUAUUGGUAGACAUGACUUUUCUCUGAGAAUAAAUAACCUGAUUAUUCCCAAUAUUCUGCCAUAGGGAUGAUCAAAAAUUUUACACUUAACUAAUGAUAAGAAAUGUACCCUAGCAAUUUAUCCCUGGAACAUCCUUGACUAUUUUCUCCUUCAAGAUAUGUAAAGUUCUUAGAAUCCCCCAAGUAAGAACUCAUUAUUCAAGUGUUUUAGGAUCAUUGAUAGAUAUUCUAGUAUUUAACAAAGGAAAUAAAUACUGACUUUUUCUUGACUUGGGUUCCUAUGGUAUCUUUCUCAAAUCUUGAUUACCCCCUCCCCCCCCAAAAAAAAUAAAAAAAAAAAAAAAAAAAAAAAAAAAAAAAAAAAAAAAAAAAAAAAAAAACCUGGUACCUAAUGAUACUUGAUGGUUAUCAAACUCCUGAUUGUUUUUAGCCAGAUAGCACUAAGAUCAUGAAAUACUAAGCCUAAAGGGAACCUUCCAGGUGUGUACUAGUAAAUGUUUAAAAAGUGGUUCUCCUCAAAGGAUGACACAAAGUAAGACAUAGUUUGCAUUAUUAACAUUUUCUCCACGACUUUCCACUAAAAAGUCAAUGAAACAAAAAACCAACCCUUGAUUUAUUGUUUGCCAAUUUCUAAUCAAAGGUGUAAAUAAAUACUCAUACUUAAAAUUUAUCAACUAUUGAAUCAAUACCUCAAUCAAUACAACAGCCUCCAAUACACCCUCUUCCUAUAAAACUCUCACCCAAAUUAGCUCUGAU
ensembl:lncRNA